GCGGGGGGUUGUUAUGUUACGUGUGUGAGGCGGAGGAGCGGCGUGAGCCCGUCUGAUCUGACAAACGUGGAUUUAACUGAGCGUGAUGGGGCCGUGCUGGACACGCGAGCGGAGGAUGCAGAGUUUUCACUGGCAGAUCACAUGACCUGGAGGUUAUGAUGGGACACUUUGGUGUUGAUGGUGUCACAAGAUGAAUAUUGUUCAGAUGAAAUUCAAAUCACCAUUCACACAUUUUGAUGGAACAUCAGCAGUGGUGUUUCUCAGGAGGGAUCAUCCAUCAUCUCCCGUGAGGGCAGGAACAUGAGGAACCACCUUCACAUCCAUCUGACUCUUCAGUGUCGAAGUCUGUGUGCAGGUUUCUCCUCCUCAAACACAAACAUACUGCUCUCGAAGUUGAAGCCUUCAAGUUCAAAUCGAAAACAGCAGCCUUCCUCACGUAGGCUACAGCCCUCUGUAGACUCCCCAGUGGCAGAGCAACACACUAACAGAAGAGAGGGGGACCGAAGGUACCGUUGUCACAAUUGAUAAAAUAAACUUGUAAUUGUUGUGGUUUUAUCUGUCAAGUACAGGGUCUUCACUACAUAUAAAUGAUCGAGGUGCACUGCAACAGCUUAAGUGAGAGCCGCCAUACCUUGAGAGUAAAGACCGUAUCUAUACAAGCUGUUUAGAUACACAUGACACGUCAUGGAAGUGGACAUGAUUAUGGUUAUUUUUUGUGAGUUUUUAAUGGAAAAACACCAUAAUAACUAGAUGACAAGAAUGUGUCUGCAGCUAGUGGAACUGAUGGUAGUAGCGCAUCUGGCCCGACAUAUGAAGAGACAGCUGCUGAUUGAAAAACUCGUCUUUAUUGUCGCCAAUUCAAGACCUGUCAAAACUACCCCCUGCUCUAUGUCUUUUUGUUGGAUGGCUUCUUGUGCUAUAGGAGGGUUCUGCUGCGGUGGUUUGAAAAAAAUCCCGGCAGAAACCCUGAAAUUGUUAAACAUUGUUGCCAUAUAUGUCCAGGCCUACUACGACCAAGAGACCCUCAAGUUGCUCUUCCACUUUUCAGCAUGGUUUUUAAUGUACGGCCAGUCCAAGAAUGAAGCGAAAGCAAUGCUUUAGAAAUCAUAAAACGGAGGUUCCUACCACGUUGGACUGACACCUCCUGCCUAUGUUCAUCUCCGUGCCUUUUGUUGCUCUGACAUCAAGUUAUGAUGUGCUGCCUUCAUGGAGUGAACUCUCGCGUCCCUGAUCGGAUCAAGCGGCUUCACGUAUGUGUCCUAUCUAUUGCCAUCCAUCAGAUCCAUGUUCAAAAAAGACGGUCUGAAAUGUAGCUGAGCAGCACAUUUGAAAUGUGGGGCCAUAAAUAUAUGCAGGCAUAAGGGGAAUUCUAUACAUGUCACAUCUUGAAGACUGCCAUGAUAUGUUGCUUCCCCGUAUCAUCGGAGACGGCACAGGAAAUCUAAACAUGGCUGAUUUUUUUUUUUUUUUUUUUUUUAGCCAUCUGGUGUCGAUGCAUUCUCUCCGCCUCACUGUUGAGACAAGUUUGCCGGCGAAGAGAGAUGGGAGACGGCUUUUUGAAGACUUGAACAUCUUAUUUUUAGCAGUGAGGAGAGAACAUCACGCUGACAUGAGUAAUGGCACCAUCGGUCCCCUGUGACGGAGUGGCACUCACACCGGUGCCUCACCGUUUGCUGUCAGCGCUGCGGGGAUUUGACGCGCAGGCUCGAUUUUCUGGCUUCAAAGUCCCGCGGGAUGCGGCAGAGGACACACCGUCGGGUACAUUUUUACAUUUUUAUAGCACAAUCCUUAACUGUUAUUACAAAAGCUGGCAGGCCAUUCUUUGCUAUUAAAAUAAAAUGAAGAAGAAAAGUCCCCCCAUUUUUCAUUUUCAUUCCCUGCUGUUAAUCUAUGCGUCCGUCACCCCAUUUAUCACAGGGUUCACCUCAACUAGCCCUUUCUUCGACGUGUGUUUGCCUUUGUCCACGGCACUAAACACGGCCGGCUAAUUUUAUCUCUUCAAAUCGAUAGGCCAAAGGUUGUUUUCUUGCAAUUCAUUGCCUGCUUAAGUGAAAAGGAUGACUUGUUGAGCCGAGUGAGAGGUCAGGUCCUGCUCACGUGAGCGAAGAUAUUCAUUUAUGAUACGAGCCAGAAAAAGAGGGGACACUCACCCUCCAGUCCAACUGAGAGUAUUUGCCAUCAAUUUACUACAGGAACACAAGUACAUACUUGAUCAUGAGGCCUGGGUUCUUUCCCUUUUUAGUCAUAUUUGGACUUGAGACAGACUUCAUGAAAUCCCAAUGAUCUGUGGGGGCAAAGUCCGACCUUCCUGUGAGUCCAACGUGUGUGUGAGUCCCUGUCCUGUCCUGAAUCUGGGGCUUGAGCUCAGGCUACUCGUGAGGUGAGUUAUUGGUGGAUAUCUCCACCACCGUUGAGACUGAUGGUUCCUUGUUUUGGCAUCGAAACUCAGGAGUAAAGGCAAGAAAAAAGGCCCUACAUCAGGGGUCAGUAAGCUAUGGUUCACGAGAAAACGGAAUUACUGUGUUAGUCCGGUGAAGCGCGGACUUUAAAAGGCAUGGAAACAGCUUAGUCCAACUAAGGGAAAUCCAAACCACUACCUGAAUAAUGCGGUUAAUAGCUGGACUAAGCUAGCAUGUAGCCUAGUCGCUUGACUAUGUUGGACUGGGUGAUGUACGGGUGCGCGAGCUUCAGCUACGCAACAGAAGUAGACAAACUCCUAGACAGAUCACGGUCUAAUAACCUAAGAAGUAACCAGAAGUGCAGAAGUUCUCGGUCUCAGCCGAUGUCUGCGGUGAACACACGCGUUUUAUUACUCGCGACGCCGAUGGUCUGCCGUUGUAUAGGUUUUUCUUCAGCCGCUUUCACAUAGGGUGUUUUGAUCGUUUGUUCUCAGCUCAGAAAAUGUGAUUUGUUAAAGGAGACAGCAUUAAUUCCACGUUAGCAACCGUGAGCAUGGUUGCUACGCGACUCUGUGAGGACUAAAUACACCUUUUCCAAUAUUCUCUGGUGGGAGAAUCCCCCGAUGACCAGCCAGGUGUGAAUUAAAUGCAGAGUAUUUAUCAUUUGUGUUUGCCUCCAGAUCGAUUGACACGUUCGCCAGAAGGCGUUUGGGCGCAGAGAGGACUCCCCUCGCGAUAGUUUCACAUCUGUGCGAAACAUCUGUCGGCUCCCAAGGCCAGUGAGCUCACUGUGGGAGAGGUCAGCUUGAUCACACAGUGCAUUAAUAGACUGAAGUCUGACUGCACCUGCAGAGUCAAAACAUUCACUUUUCUGCAAGAGCAAUUCAUGGGAAGUACUGCAGAUAGAGGAGUUUGUCAGCAGCCUUCAUUUAAGGAUUAUCUAGUUUACAGUGACUGGAUUCUCAUGAUUUUUAAAUGCCUAGAAAAAAAACUCAAGAGAGAAAUAAAAGGAGUCUGCAGAACAGUGAACACUUCUUCAAAAAUAGGUCACAUUCGCGCUCAGCGGCUGCUACCUUGGGGCUGUUUUGUCUGGACCGCUACAGAAGAAAAUGGAGAAAUUUGGAAUCCAAGAAUUAUGCCGGCAUAUCAUGAUGUUUUUGAAUUAAAAGUUUUUAAUUUUAAUAAUCACAGAGUUACUAGUGGGAAAAAAAGUUUGUAGAUGAUGAGAUGCUGCUUCAUGGAUUUGGUCCAGUGUGUAGUUAGACUCAAAUACUGCAAAUUUCAUGAUGAAUGUUGAACAGUUUCCAUGGUCUCAUGGUCUCAGAACAUUUGAUGAGAGGAUCCACGUGCAGACGGAUGGCCAGAUCAUAAUCUUGAGGGUGGUGGAAGCUGGGCACCGGUUGUGGUCCAGAAUAGACCAGAAGAAUCUCAAGAACGAAAAUGAAACAUAUCUUGAGCCUUUUUAAGGCCCAUUUAUGCUCCCUAUACAUGUGAAAUUGUACCUGUGCUUUUCAAACCUGAUCAGAUACUUCCAUGCAUUCUUUACCUUGGCAUUGCUGGUCACCACUAUAUACCACCAGGGGGCCCAGAGUGAAGAGUUCAUGACAACGACAAACCCCAAAACCAACAUGGUGACUGAGGAAGAAGUAUUGAUGACAUACAUCUUGGACAAAAGAGGAGAAUGGAGGCGGCGGUGGUCGGUGAGGCCGCUUAAUAUAUUGCGACGAGAAUAUGGAGAGCUCUACGUAUCGGAUAGUAACAUGGUUUCUGGUGGUACUUCUCUGUUUGGUCUGUAAAAUUUGUGGAAACGUGCAGAAAUACGGACAAAAUAAAUGCAGAGCACGGACAGAAGGUUCCAUCCGUUGAGCAUAAAUGGUCCUUUAUAAGGAGCAGCACGAGCCAUGAGAAGCAUUGGGCAGUAGUUGUAUAGUAGUAGAUCAGACCUGGGCAAAGUGCGGCCCGGGGGCCAUAUGCGGCCCUUUUCUUGUGUUUUUGCGGCCCUCAUGAGGUCGGACUAAAACUAUACAACUGAUAAGUAGUCAUUUUGUCUUGUUUCUUUCUUAGCAUUACUAUUUCAAGAAUGAUUAUAACAUGUUCAGGACUUAAAUUUCUUUUCAUCUGCCA